UACGUAGGAUGCAAGCGUUGUCCGGCAUUCUUGGGCGUAAAGAGCGCGCAGGCGGUAUGACAAGUCAGAUGUGAAAGAGGCCGGCUUAACCGGCAAGGGUCAUUUGAAACUGUCAGACUUGAGUGCAGGAGAGGAAUGCGGAAUUCCAGGUGUAGCGGUGAAAUGCGUAGAUAUCUGGAGGAACACCGGUGGCGAAGGCGGCAUUCUGGACUGUAACUGACACUGAGAGACGAAAGCCAGGGGAGCAAACGGG
rnacentral:rRNA from 1 species